GCCACCGUAGCUCAGCUGGUAGAGCAACUGAUUCGUAAUCAGUAGGUCACCCGUUCGAUUCGGGUCGGUGGCU
rnacentral:tRNA from 1 species